GUUCCCGUAGCUCAAUUGGUAGAGCGCUGGUCUCCAAAACCAGAGGCUGCAGGCUCGGUCCCUGCCGGGAAUGCCA
rnacentral:tRNA from 1 species